GUCGUGUGCGCAAAGUAUUUUUUUCGAGCGUAACACACAUCCAAAAAGUCGUCCGACAAAUUACGUUGAAAAAUAUUCUCAUUUAUACACAUUUAUAUAUUAAUCUAUACAUCUCUUAUCGAUUUAAAUUCUGGAGGUGCUGCGUGUGUAUAUAUAUUUUUUUUAAUUCUCUUCCUCUACGUCCACACACUAAUUACGAAACACUGCGAUUUCAAAAAUGUACUCGAUCCUACGACCGAUCUCAAAGAGUUAAUAUUCCGUCGUCUGUAUAUAAUUAGGAAGUACUUUCCCUUUAGUUUUGCAUGUAAUUAUUAUACGGAACGCGCGUUAGCUGGCUUGAGUUUCAACUUUCUUCAUUGCUGAUUCUUUUUCACAGAAUUCGACGGUUUGAGAGAAAUGCCGAGUAAAAAAAUUUUUCAUCUUCUAAAGUCUCGAUCAAAGAUUUCUCUAAAAAUUCCUCAGCGAUUUUUAUAUCAUAGAUGUAAGAAUACAAGAAGUGAAUAAGAAGAGGAAGAGUGUUGAUUUAAAAACGGGAUUUCUCGAAAUCUGCGUUUUAUAAUAUACGUUUUUUUAAUCGUCGAUUCUCAAUCAAUACGUAUAAAUUAAUUGAUCAUCUCCACGAUGAGACGGAUCGAGAGAAGAUUUAACGAGAUGCGACAGACGGGAAGUUUCACGAAAGCGAAAUUGUCUUUAAAAAUCUAUGAAUGAAGAUCGUCUCGAAGAUAUCUAAAGGGAAAGUGUACAAUCAAGAAAAAGGACAAAUAAUUAUAGUUGUACCAUAACGGCAUGUUUAUCCCGACGCUUUUAGGCCCUGCGGAAUAAUGUUCGGGCCCCGAGAAUUCAAUGGGGACUCUGAAAUGAUAGCAUUUCGAUUUUUCCAAAAUGCAAAAAUUCCACUAGCAAUGUUUAUCUCGAUCUGCGAGAGAAUUCCAUUUUAUAGACUACAAACUAUUCAUAAAUAAAUCGUACAUCAUCGAAGGAUACAGGACCCGAGCCCAUUCUAUGACGCCUAAACGCGCCCCUUGCAUAAUACGGGACAGUUUGUGCGUUGAUACUCUUAAAAAUCGAUAGUAUACAUAUAUAUGUACUGUAGGAGAACCGUCUCUCUCAAUGCACGCGCGUUCGGACGAGCUAUGAGUGUCGAUCAACAUCAGAAUGUGUAUUAAUUUGAUUGUAUGUCUCCCUGGGCGCAAUGUUGAUCGAUUCUGGUAUUACGACAAUCGCAAGCGUUUGUAUUUUCAGCAAUACGAGAGCGAGACGAGUGAGCAAUAUCGAAUUAAAUCGACAAGCUGCAGUGUCACUUAGUACAAUACCUAGCUUCUCCUAAUUCGAUCAAUUUCGAAAAUUUCGAAAGGCGAAGAAAAUCUGUCAACAAUCAUAGUCAUAAGAUUCAGAGUUGGAAAGAAAGAUCUUUAAGCAUCUUCAUCUUUAGAUAUCUUUAAAUUAUUGCACCAAUUUUCUACAUCUUUUCUUUUUGUAGCCAUUUAAUUUGAACGACAAACGUCGAACUUUGUGUGAAAUUAAUGAUGAUGAAAAUAGCAUUUGUAGUAUAUACUUGGUCCAGCGAUUAUUCGACAGAUAAUCGUCGCUUAUCGAUCAUUUCGCAUUUAAAAUCGCUAUAUUUUACUUGGCGAUAAAAGUCACGAGUUUGGUUUUCUCGUCCAAACGCGUCUCUACUUAAACGAAAUACGUGUCGUGCGUAUCACACACAUCUAUCUUGAUACGUGUAAAUGAUUGUCCGUGAUUGUCCGUAGUUGAUAGAA